rnacentral:rRNA from 1 species
AUGCGCCCGUCCGCGGGGAACGAGAGGCCGCCGGGGCGCCCCGUGUCCGGCUUCGUGCCCGGUUUCGCCGCCGGGGCCCCUCCGCCGGCGGCGGGGGCCUCGCCGUUCGGGGCCGCUGCUCCGCUCGCGCGCCCCGGUGGUCCGGCCGGCCCCUUCGUCCCGCCGACGCAGCAGCAGGGCCCGCCGGUCCCGCAGGCGGCUGCUUCUCCUCGGGGGUCGUUCGGGGCAGCGCCGCCCGCGGCAAUGGGUGGGUACAGGGGUCCACCGCCGUCACAGGGUUCCUUCGGCGCCGGGCCGCCGCCUCCAGGGCCGUUCAGCACAGCACCGCCGCCUCAAGGUCCCUUCGGCAUGGCACCACCGGCUCAGGGCCCCUUCGGCGCCGCACCUCCUCCUUCCCAGGGACCCAUGGGCGCAGCCCCUCCACCCCAGGGACCCUUUGGCGCAGCACCUCCAACCCAGGGACCCUUUGGCGGCGCCGCACAUCCACCCCAGGGACCCUUUGGCGCCGCGCCGCCGUCUCAAGGCCCUUUUGGCGCAGCACCUCCACCUUUUCGCCCUCCGCCGUCAGCUCUCCCGCAGCCACAGUCUCCCACAGGAAACACUAUGCCUCCACCGACAUAUGUGAGGCCGCCGCCGGUACAAUCGCAGCCCCAGCCUGUGCAAGGGUAUUACCCUGGGGGCCCUAACCCACAGUUUCCGCCGGUCCGGCCAUCGUUUCAACAGCCAAUGCAGAACAUGGCACCGCCUCCGAUGGGGCCACAUUCCUCCUACAGUAACCAGCCAGCAUAUCCUACUACAGGGCCUCCGAUGGGCACGCUCCAGAGCUUAGUGGAGGACUUCCAGUCUCUGUCAGUGAGUUCUGCGCCUGGGUCGCUUGACCCAGGUGUGGAUGUAAAUGGGCUACCACGUCCGCUGUAUGGCGAUGAGGAGCCAGCUAAGGUUUUGGAGGCAUUCCCACUGAAUUGCCACCCGAGGUACUUCCGGCUGACAACCCACACUAUCCCGGCGUCCCAGUCAUUGGUCUCCAGGUGGCAUUUGCCCCUUGGGGCCGUGGUACAUCCUCUCGCAGAAGCACCUGAUGGGGAGGAAGUGCCAGUUGUCAACUUUGGGUCGGCUGGUGUAAUCCGCUGUCGAAGAUGCAGGACAUAUAUAAAUCCUUAUGCAACAUUUGCAGAUGCUGGAAGGAAGUGGCGCUGCAAUCUUUGCACACUGCUCAAUGAUGUUCCUGGCGAGUACUUUUGUGCUCUUGAUGCUAGUGGCAGAAGAUUUGAUGCAGAUCAAAGACCAGAACUUUCUAAGGGAACAGUGGAGUUUGUUGCUCCUACUGAAUAUAUGGUUCGGCCACCAAUGCCGCCCUCGUAUUUCUUUCUUAUUGAUGUCUCAGUAUCUGCAGUUCGGAGUGGGCUGCUCGAGGUAGUUGCGAAGACCAUCAAAUCAUGCCUUGAUGAUCUUCUAGGCUUUCCACGAACACAAAUUGGAUUCUUAACCUUCGACAGCACAUUGCACUUCCACAAUUUCAAGUCUUCUUUGAGUCAGCCUCAAAUGAUGGUGGUUGCCGAUUUGGACGAUGUUUUCCUGCCAUUGCCUGAUGAUCUCUUGGUUAAUUUGGUCGAUUCUAGACCUGUUGUCGAGUCCUUUCUCGAUAACUUGCCCAAUAUGUUUCAGGACAACGUAAAUGUAGAAUCUGCUCUUGGUCCUGCACUUAAAGCAGCAUUCAUGGUUAUGGGUCAAAUUGGGGGAAAGUUGCUUGUCUUCCAGAGUACAUUGCCAUCUCUUGGUAUUGGCCGUUUGAGACUUCGUGGAGAUGAUGUCCGUGCAUAUGGAACAGACAAGGAGCAUAUUCUGAGGAUACCGGAAGAUCCCUUCUAUAAACAGAUGGCUGCUGAGUUCACGAAAAAUCAGAUCGCCGUGGACAUAUUUUCUUUGAGUGACAAGUAUUGUGAUAUAGCUUCCUUAGGUUCUCUGGCGAAAUAUACUGGUGGUCAGGUGUACCAUUAUCCAUCCUUCCAGGCAACUACUCACGGGGAGAAACUUAAACAUGAGCUUAGCAGAGACCUUACUCGGGAGACUGCUUGGGAAUCUGUAAUGCGUAUCAGAUGUGGAAAAGGGGUGCGUUUCACAACAUAUCAUGGUCAUUUCAUGCUAAGGUCCACAGAUUUGUUAGCUCUUCCAGCUGUUGACUCUGAUAAAGCCUUUGCGAUGCAACUGUCGCUAGAGGAGACCCUAAUGACCACGCAGACUGUUUACUUCCAAGUGGCGUUGCUAUAUACAUCAUCUUCUGGUGAACGACGUAUCAGGGUGCAUACGGCAGCUGCACCUGUGGUCACAGAUCUUGGUGAAAUGUAUCGUCAAGCAGAUACUGGUGCCAUUGUGUCAGUGUUGGCUAGAACCGCUGUUGAAAACUCACUGUCUGAUAAGCUGGACAGUGUUCGACAACAAUUACAGUUAAAGCUUGUGAAAAGUUUAAAGGAAUACCGGAAUCUAUAUGUUGUACAACAUCGGAUAGGAGGGAGACUGAUAUAUCCAGAAUCAUUAAGAUACUUGCCAUUAUACAUCCUGGCCCUAUGCAAAUCCCUUGCUGUGCGUGGUGGUUAUGCUGACGUCUCUCUUGAUGAACGUUGCGCUGCUGGUUUCAGUAUGAUGAUACUGCCUGCAAGAAGGCUGCUCAAUUUUAUUUAUCCAUCUCUGUACAGGCUUGAUGAAGUAUUGACAGUGGAACCAGAUAUGAUUGACGGGGCCCUGAAGCGGUUGCCGUUAACCUUGCAGUGCCUAGACACUGCUGGUUUAUAUCUUCUUGAUGAUGGCUUCACCUUCCUAGUAUGGUUGGGUAGGAUGCUCCAACCUGAGCUCAUGAACGACAUUCUUGGAGUCAGCCUCUCAAACUUCCCUGAUCUAUCAAAGAUUCAGUUGAGAGAAUGUGACAACAAUCACUCGAGAAACUUCAUGGCAGUACUAAGAGCCCUAAGGGAGAGGGAUUCUUCAUGUUACCAGCUGCCCCGUGUGGUACGGCAAGGCGAGCAGCCAAGAGAAGGCUUCCUACUUCUGUCCAACCUCGUCGAGGAUCAGAUGGCAGGAACAAGCAGUUACAUGGACUGGAUACUCCAAAUUCACCGCCAAACACAGAGCUCGUGA